GUGCUCAUUUUGGCGCAACAUAUAACUAAAAUUGGAACAAUAUCAGGAAGAAGAUUAGCGUGGGUUCCUGCGCAAGGAUGACACACAAAUUCGUGAAGUGGUUUCCAUUAAA
rnacentral:snRNA from 1 species